CGCACGGGGGCGUAACGCGCUAUACAAUCAUGCCUUUCACAUAGGGAUAGCCCGCAAGAAAUUUGGAUUAAUACCUAAUGGUAUAUAAGAGCGGCAUCGGUUUUUAUAUUAAAGCUACGGUGGUGAAAGAUGAGUAUGCGUUCUAUUAGCUAGUUGGAGAGGUAACGGCUCCCCAAGGCGACGAUAGAUAGGGGUUCUGAGAGGGAUGUCCCCCACACUGGUACUGAGAUACGGACCAGACUCCUACGGGAGGCAGCAGUGAGGAAUAUUGGACAAUGGUCGGAAGACUGAUCCAGCCAUGCCGCGUGCAGGAUGAAGGUCCUAUGGAUUGUAAACUGCUUUUGUAAGGGAAGAAUAAGGAGUACGUGUACUUUGAUGACCGUACCUUACGAAUAAGCAUCGGCUAACUCCGUGCCAGCAGCCGCGGUAAUACGGAGGAUGCGAGCGUUAUCCGGAAUCAUUGGGUUUAAAGGGUCC
rnacentral:rRNA from 1 species